CUUUAUUGGUUACCUCUUACAUUUCCAAGUUUAUAAAAAAAAGUGGAUAUAUUUCAAAGUAGCACUAUUCUGAUUUUUGGUUCAUGUCUACCAGAAUGUACAAUGUAUCUAAUAUUCUAGAAUGAAUGCUAUUUCUAAAUGUGAAUUAAUUUUGAAAUUAGAGAGACAUUGAAUGCUGGCUUAAUUUGACCUUGUAAUUAUUUCACAUUGGGAUUCAGUAGUACAAUGCAGCUCAAGAAUUGUGUUACAGGUAUGUUUUUAUGCACCUAAAAAAGUUUUGACUUUUUUUUCUUAAAAAAUCUACAUUUUCUGGCUCUCAGUUUUUGCUACAAAGCAUGAACUAAUGUAUAGUUGAAUAGAAUUUUAAAAGUUAUCAUAAUUGGGUAUUUAUCUGUUGAUUGUACUAUUGAUUUAUCUGAUAACAUGAUCAUAGUUAAACCACAUUUGUCCUUUCACUUGUUUGACUAUGUGAUUACUGAUAUUACAAAGAGGGAAACUAGGUUAACAGUAAAUCAUAAUGUAUGGACUUUUGACUUUUGAUCCCCUUAAUAUUAAAACAAGUGAGUUUCAUAAUCAUGUUUAGGAAGAUGAGGAGGUAGCAUAUCAAUGACCGGUUAUUGAGGAUGGGUAUCACAAGAUAUGUGCUACAUUUGUAUAAAGUUUUGCUGUUUUUACAAAUGGCCAAUUAUUUAAUUGCUGUUUUUGAAGCUCAUCAGUGUAACCCCUUCACAUCAGUUGGCUGCUUUGCAAAAAUUCCAGCAUGCAUUUUUAACUGUAAAG